rnacentral:sRNA from 1 species
UUCACCAACCCCGCGCUAAAGCGACGGGGAUUGAGAACCCCAAAGUUCUUGACGUUAAGAGGUGAAUAGCCCAGUGAGCCUAGUUCUGGUACAAACUUCCGAAUGCUUCUCUAGUUCGGAUUUCCUUUAAGUUCUUUUGGGAGAACGUUGUCAGACAAGACAUCUUGGACUAGGUGGGCGAAGAGACUUUAAACUUUACUCUUGAG